UACGUAGGGCGCAAGCGUUGUCCGGAAUUAUUGGGCGUAAAGAGCUCGUAGGCGGUUUGUUGCGUCCGCUGUGAAAACCCGCGGCUUAACCCUGGGCUGGCAGUGGAUACGGACAGACUAGAGGUAGGUAGGGGAGAAUGGAAUUCCCGGUGUAGCGGUGAAAUGCGCAGAUAUCGGGAGGAACACCGGUGGCGAAGGCGGUUCUCUGGGCCUUUCCUGACGCUGAGGAGCGAAAGCGUGGGGAGCGAACAGG
rnacentral:rRNA from 1 species